CGCCCGUGCGCCCGGCGCCGCUCCGCCUCUGCCAGCCAUGAGCGCAUCGAGGCAUGAUCUUGACGCGCAACUCCUUGGCAGGGGCGAGCGACCGUCUGGACUGGAGCGCGUCGGCGGGGGUGGGGGGGGAGGAGGAGAAGGAGCCGUGUGCACGAAAGGGGCGUGGCCUAGGGCGGGGCGGGGCAAUCCAUUCCACGCCCACCCCCCGUCCUCAAUAAAUAGGCGCCCGCAAAGACGCAGCUCAACUGCUAUCCGCACCCGUCCGAGCGAGCGCAUCACUGUUGCGGGAGAAGCCUCAACCAAGCAUGGAUGCCCAAGACUGUCCCUGCGCCAGCGGUUGCUGCUCCUGUUGCCCAGUCGGCUGCUCCAAGUGCGCCCAAGGGUGCGUCUGCAAGGGACCCCCCUCCACCAAAUGCAGCUGCUGCCAGUGAACCACCCCCUCUGCUCUCGGAGCAGGGACCUGUAUAUUUGCCUGCAACAGUGUAACUCUCGUGUCUUAUAUAUUUGUGUGUUUUCUAGCUUGUAGAAGUGCGACAAAAAAAGCUACUUUGAAAGUAAAUAAAGCUAUAUAUGUAUAUAUAAACA
rnacentral:lncRNA from 1 species